rnacentral:rRNA from 1 species
CAGUUUUGGCGGAGCCAUCCUUGGGAUACCACCCUUGUAGUACUGGGACUCUAACCAUAGGCCAUGAAUCUGGUCUGGGGACACUGUCAGGUGGGCAGUUUGACUGGGGCGGUCGCCUCCCAAAAGGUAACGGAGGCGCUCAAAGGUUCUCUCAGUACGGUCGGAAAUCGUACGGAGGGUGUAAAGGCAAAAGAGAGCUUGAUUGCAAGACAUACAGGUCGAGCAAGGAUGAAAAUCGGACUUAGUGAUCCGGUGGUUCUGCGUGGAAGGGCCAUCGCUCAACGGAUAAAAGCUACCCUGGGGAU